AGACACAAACUCACAAUGCUGGGUGCUGGGGUUGCAGAGGAGAGGGAGCAGAGCAGGGACUCUACCUCCUGCUUCUUUCAUGCUUGAGGAUUGACAUGAGAAGCCUGCUGUGUGUGUGCCUCGCUGGAGAGACACAGCCAUACCCAAGUGUUGCAACUUCAUGCCAAGGUCACCCUUUGCCUGGAUCUGGCUUUGUGGGAAGAAGCCACUGAGAGCUCAUGAGGGAGUACAGCCACCCUGCCAGGUCACUCUUACCUUGGUCCUGGGGGAUCUACAAAUGGGAUGGAGACACAACCAGAGUUAUAACCUCCUUGUCAGGAUUCCAAACCAAGGUUAGUCUUCUUGAUUUGUUGCAUGGAACUGAAGUGGACCCUGGCAAAACACCAAACAGUCUGCCAAUUCACCUCUCAGACGUUGCCAACCCAGAGAUGCUGGCAUCAGUAGAUGAUAUUCAGUGUUGAGAUAAUACCUGGAUAGAUCACUGGGGGCAAGCCAAGCAAGGAUCUAACAAGUCUUUUUCAUAGGCUAAACCCAACACUGACAGCCAGAAGUAGCAUAAUGAAUCAGAGAAAUAUCACGUGGAUUGAAGCUAAGGACCUUCAGAAUCUGUGUCAGAGUGUCUGAUCUGGCACCCAGAGUCAGCAUU